GAGUCUUGAUCGGGAGAGGGCAACCAGCGUUGCCGCCGAAGGGGCACUACCCAAAAACUCUCAGGCAAAAGGACCGGUCAAGGGGC
rnacentral:ncRNA from 2 species